UAGGAUCUGUGAGCGACCAGUUCAGCUC
rnacentral:piRNA from 1 species